CCUACGGGUGGCAGCAGUGGGGAAUAUUGGGCAAUGGGCGCAAGCCUGACCCAGCAAAGCCGCGUGAAGGAAGAAGGCUUUCGGGUUGUAAACUUCUUUUCUCAGGGACGCAGAAGGUGCCGGUACCUGAGGAAUAAGCCACGGCUAACUACGUGCCAGCAGCCGCGGUAAUCCGUAGGUGGCAAGGGUUAUCCGGAUUUGUUGGGUGUAAGGGGCGUGUAGGCGGGAGCGCAAGUCAGAUGUGAAAACUCAGGGCUCAACCCUGUGCGUGCAUUUGAAACUGGGUUUCUUGAGUGCUGGAGAGGCAAGCGGAAUUCCGGGUGUAGCGGUGAAAUGCGUAGAUAUACGGAGGAACACCAGUGGCGAAGGCGGAUUGCUGGAGAUUAACUGACGCUGAGGCGCGAAAGCGUGGGUAGCGAACAGGAUUAGAUACCCCAGUAGUC
rnacentral:rRNA from 1 species